CAUUUACAUUUUGAAGCAAUCGACGAUGAAAGUAACGAUAAUUCGAUAAGGUUGAAACGUUAUUAUGAAAAGUGAUGUACGCGUCACCGGUGAACAUGGUGAGAAGAACAGUUACGACACGGUUGACAACGUGGCAAGAUAAUCGAAUAACCGGUGCACCGUAGCACCCUUGUUCUCGGUGCAACUGAGCUCACCUGUGUACGUGCCAGACUUUCUUCUAAAGAGCGAGACAGAGGGAAGGGAGGGGGGAAGGAGAGAGAGAGAGAGAGAGAGAGAAGUUUCAUGGCAAUUAUCUGCCCGCGUCUUAACUCGCGGUAUUACACUUUCAACUCUAGCGACGCUGCUUUCCUCGAGGAGGCGGUCUUUUCCGGUAUGCGCCAACUAUGAGUUGCAUCGCGAUGCGAACACCAAGUAAUUCAUUCGUACAAAUUUCGAUUACGAGAGGGUGAAAUGUUCGUAGUUGGUGUCAACACGAAAAGAACAAUUUCGCUGCGAUGUUUAAUAAACAUGUUGUUCUAGGCUCCACUAGCUAUGUAACGAAAAGUAAAAAAUCAAAUUGUAAGAUAUACGGUAGGCUACUUUCGAAAUAAGAACAUAAUCCUCUUUAAAAAUCUCUCCGCUAUCGCGGAAGAUAUUCCCUCUUCUAUAAUUAGCCAGCCAAUGCUCAUUAUUUCUCAUGCAUGACGCUUCGUUAUUUUCGAACUAAUUAAAAUUCGCUGUUGUUGCGCGGCAAAUUCUCCAUUAUCAGGAAUACAGUUUCAUUCGCAUCGAACCCCGUUCCGGAAUACGCGGGAGACGCGUAAGCGCGCGGCCGUAGUCCCGUUCGAUUUUAAUUUCCUGACUACUUUUUAACGACUAUGUACAGAGUAAAAGAGUAAAAAAAAGAGUAGAACAAAAAGGGAAUAUACUCGCGAGACGAAGAUUACUGUUGAUAUAUUCGAUCACUGGUUUAUUGCAUUUCUGUAAAUUUGGCAAAUAACUCAGUAUUAAUAUUGCUCAUAAUAACUCAGUAUUAAGCAUUAUGGACCUUUUAACUCUUGAAAGGCGGUUGUACCAAACGACUUGGUAGGAAUGAGAAUGACACGUCAAGGCGUGUCGUGCGUGCUGGAGUAUCGCGCCGCUGGCUCAUAUUACGUUAUAUUACGAUACUGAUUAUCAAAACGUUAGUCCCGGCGUGUUUGAAUGGAAAUUUCCAGCGCCAGAGUUAUCAAUGAUCAAACAUCGAUAAAAGUCGACUUGAGGUACGAUGUGCUCGUCGUUCAUACAGCAGAGAAACGACGAGUAUAAAUCUCCUUCGGACGUAGAAGGUUGCUUUUACGUAGUCCAAUGCGACAAGAUUCUGAUCAAUUUGGAUAAAAGAUGUUAUUAUUCAUAAUGGAAAGAGGAUAAUGAAUAUUCCCAUUAUAAGGAUGGAAAGUUAUAAAAUUUAUCGCAGAAUGUGACAGUUUCAAUCGUUGGGAAGAUUGCAUGUGAAUUGCAUUGUUCAUUAAUGUGCUCCAAUUCAAGCGGAAACAUACGGCGAUGAAUAGUCAGCAUUCAUUUCUGAG